UUGGCAUGUCCUGAAUGGACUCACCUGGGACAUAUUCACAGUAAGUUACUCGUCAGCAGCUGAAGAUCGUCUCGGGGCAGGUGUGACAUCACAGGCGUCUCCUGACCCCUGUCCGCCCCUGGGCUGCCCAGGAUCUCCUGCCCAGGGCUCCCUCCCUCUCAUUCCCUCCAAGGACUUCCCCUCCAUCAGAGAGGGUGAGGCGACCCUCCAGGCCAGGACUGGGUGCUCUUUGCUGGGAGAAGGCCUCUGCUCUCGGUCCUGCUGCCCCUGGUGCGUGGGGGCCGGAACCCCACCUCCGCGGGGACUCUGCUGCACAGAAGACGACCGUCCUUCAUCACAGGGCAGCCCAAACCGUCCAGAGUGACUAUGAACCAUGGAAGACAGAACCGCCCACAGAGGAGCUGAGCUGCCGUCGGACUCCUCGACCCUUUGCCACCUCGUCUCUUUGAAAUCAACUCGAGGCAACUGCUUUCCUUCUCCCCACUGAAAACAAAGGCUCCCGGCUCCGCUGUCCAAGCAUGACGUCAUGCCCUCCGAGGGCCGGGGCACGGAUUUCAUUCAUAGGAUUUCCAUAAUUCCCGACACUGAAGAGCAUGCGUUUCUUUCACCUAAAUCAUGCCCGCGUUCAAAAACAAACAGUACAUUCGAAUUAAAAUAUAUCAAAACCACGCCACGGUGGGGAACGCGCCUGCAUUCCCCCAGGUGGACGUGUUUGGAUGUAUGAUCCCCACGGCAACGCCAAAUCAGGGCAACAGCGCUCAGUGCACCGGCGUGGACGCCGCCUGCCCCACGGUCCGGGGCCCGCCUGCCCCUGGAGUGAGCGUUCCGCAGCCGCCGGGUCAGCCCUCAAUCCACAGAACCUGCGACUCGGGAAAAGGUUCCGAAAUGACCCGUCACUGAACUGCACGGCGAAGCGAGGAUCCAGAAACUAGAGAGGAGGACGCGGAACCCGAUCCAAAUGAGGAAGGGACCACGUGUGUGUUUUAAAAGCCCCGAGAAAAGGGCUUAGAGAACGAUUUGCUCUUUCCUUGACAACGGGCAUCAUUCAUCAACGAGUGCACACGGUGAGCGCACGCUGUCAGUGCAGAUUACAGAACCACCGGCUCGCCCUUAUGAAGUGAGCUGGGCAACUCGCUGUAUUUCAACCUGUCAGGCCUCCUCUAUUAUCUACGGGCCUGGUUAUAGAAACGAAUGCUGUGUUCUGUAAAUAAAUACAAGUUUGGAAUUCCAUAACGCUAUCCUAGACGCCGCACACGUCCGGUGUAAAUGUAGGUGAUGUCUAUCCUCAGGCCGGUCCCGCCCUCCUGAGAAAACCAGCGCGGCCGGCGGCGCCAGGGGACCAUUUCCCAGCCGCUUCCGAGCUCAGCUGAGCCGCUGGCUGCAGCCCUGCCCGCCGCCGGCUGCGCCCAGGCAGCGCUCAGUGGCCGGAGGAAGGGUGAGGAAACGCCAGGGCGGUAACCGCUACUGCCCGUCCCCACUCAGCUUCACUGUGACAUUUAGAAAUCAGCGGGGCAGCCUAGGAUCAAUUGUAAUAAAUAACCAAAGGCAAGGGGAAAGGGCGUUUAAAAUACUCCUUUUAUCUAAAAAAUGUAUCUUUACUGUUGCAAGCGUGACAGAAGAUGCGCCCUCUUACUCCCCCCGGGACCUCCUCCACCCCGCACCCUGUCACUUACCACCACCUGAGAAGCCGGCUGGGGAUCUGCCAAGGGCGCUCUGGUUUGGUGAUCACCUUGGAAAGCUCUGUGUUUCACUUACACGAAGGAUCCCCAAGGACUGUGCCCAACACCCUCAGAAUAAAAAUGUCGGGAGUCCUCUUCCCCUGGGCCGGCCACUUAGACACACAGAGGAGAACAACAGAGAGUCCCGCUUCAAAGGGUUUCAAGUCCAGGCGUGGCUGGGGAAUGUUAUAUUUGCACAGGCCUAGAAAAAGGCCUGAAAGUAUAUAUAUCAAACUGUUAACAGUGGUUACAUCUAAGGUGCCGGCUCUGUAGUAGGGCCUUUCACUUUUUAUCUGCAUACUUAUAUAAUUUGAAUUUUUGCAACAGAUGUGUUUUAAUAACUAAAAAUGAAACCACUGAUUUUUAAAUUAUUUCCAGAAGAACACAGGGCAGACAGGUUUAAAGCCUAUAAAGUUUGACAAACACUGUAUUAAAUAAUAAAAGCUAUCUUUAUUGAGAAAAGAAGAAAGU